rnacentral:rRNA from 1 species
GACGGGACCGCACAAGCGGUGGAUGAUGUGGAUUAAUUCGAUGCAACGCGAAAACCUUACCUACCCUUGACAUGUCCGGAAUCCCGAAGAGAUUUGGGAGUGCUCGCAAGAGAACCGGAACACAGGUGCUGCAUGGCUGUCGUCAGCUCGUGUCGUGAGAUGUUGGGUUAAGUCCCGCAACGAGCGCAACCCUUGUCAUUAGUUGCCAUCAUUUGGUUGGGCACUCUAAUGAGACUGCCGGUGACAAACCGGAGGAAGGUGGGGAUGACGUCAAGUCCUCAUGGCCCUUAUGGGUAGGGCUUCACACGUCAUACAAUGGUCGGUACAGAGGGUUGCCAACCCGCGAGGGGGAGCUAAUCCCACAAAGCCGAUCGUAGUCCGGAUCGCAGUCUGCAACUCGACUGCGUGAAGUCGGAAUCGCUAGUAAUCGUGAAUCAGAAUGUCACGGUGAAUACGUUCCCGGGCCUU